GGCAAUGCAUGAACCAUACCCCUGUUAACAUCAUUACCAUCAUCAUUAACUUUGAAGGAAAAAAAAUCAGACAAACAAAUCCCAAUUUAGUUUAUUUCUCCAUUCCUAAUCUAGGUUAUCUGCAGAUUUGGAGGUUCAAAUUGUAAUCUAGAUACUUUUAUUCAUUGCUUAAAAUUGAGUUGCUCAUUUAUACCAACCUGGGUUAUCUGCAAGGAACCUU
rnacentral:misc_RNA from 1 species